UACAGAGACUGCGAGCGUUAUUCGGAUUCACUGGGCGUAAAGGGUGCGCAGGCGGCCAAGUGUGUGAGGCGUGAAAGCCCGGGGCUUAACCCCGGAAUUGCACCUCAAACUACAUGGCUAGAGCAUUGGAGAGGGAAGCGGAAUUCACGGUGUAGCAGUGAAAUGCGUAGAUAUCUGGAGGAACACCGGUGGCGAAGGCGGCAUCCUGGACCGACACUGACGCUGAGGAGCGAAAGCCAGGGGAGCAAACGGG
rnacentral:rRNA from 1 species